UUUAGAAAUGGAAAAAUGUUGAUAGAUCCAAGGUUACCAUCAAAUCCAUUAACAUUUUUCCAUUCCUAAACCAUCCUUAAAGAAAAUCAUAAAAGGGGUCACACC